CUCCGCGGCCAUGUUGCUGAGGGGGUCUGAGGUCAUUUCCGGAGGCCUGAGCGUGUACUUCCGUUUCGAUGCGCUCGUGGGAGGGUCCUUUGAAAGGUCGAAGACGUCGUUGGCCUUCGUGAAAAUGAUGUCCAGUCCCAAGGUUGUCGACUGCUUACGUUGGUCCAGGCGUUGUUCUAAGCACUUUUUAUACAUUAGUCCAUUGACUCCUCAUAACAAACCCAUGAGCCAGCCCGGGACCACCUGGUGACGUCACGCCCAGGGCAGCCAGGUCUCCGGCUCACCUGGGUCCGCUGCAGUCCGUCGCUCCCUGGCGGCCCGCUGGGGAACCGGCCCGUGGCGCCCUCUCGAGCUGCCCGGUUCCCGGGAGGGUUAAAGCGCCACCGAGACUAGGGAAUCUGCCGAAUCCGGUUCUGCUCCGCCCUCGCCUCGGCGAGCGACCUCGACUCACCUUGCACCACAGUGACCACAUCUGGGAGAUGAGAGGGUUGUGCUGGGUCAGUUUUUCCUGUAAACUCAACCAUUCAGCAGACUGGGAUGCUUUUCUAAACUCCCCCUCGCAGGCCAUUAACAUUAUAUAGGAAAGUGAUAUGUAUGUUUAUUGCAUUCCUCAAUAAAAGCUGUAACAUAAUAUGUACUUAGAGCUCCUUCUGUUUGUUUCUUUUAUUACUGAAAUAAAUUAUCACGCAACCGCA